UGGGGAAUUUUGGACAAUGGGGGAAACCCUGAUCCAGCCAUCCCGCGUGUGCGAUGAAGGCCUUCGGGUUGUAAAGCACUGUUGGCAGGAAAGAAACGUCAUGGGUUAAUACCCCGUGAAACUGACGGUACCUGCAGAAUAAGCACCGGCUAACUACGUGCCAGCAGCCGCGGUAAUACGUAGGGUGCAAGCGUUAAUCGGAAUUACUGGGCGUAAAGCGUGCGCAGGCGGUUCGGAAAGAAAGAUGUGAAAUCCCAGAGCUCAACUUUGGAACUGCAUUUUUAACUACCGGGCUAGAGUGUGUCAGAGGGAGGUGGAAUUCCGCGUGUAGCAGUGAAAUGCGUAGAUAUGCGGAGGAACACCGAUGGCGAAGGCAGCCUCCUGGGAUAACACUGACGCUCAUGCACGAAAGCGUGGGGAGCAAACAGG
rnacentral:rRNA from 1 species